GACGAACGCUGGCGGCGUGCUUAACACAUGCAAGUCGAACGAAGUGGCGCACGGGUGAGUAACGCGUAAUCAACCUGCCCUUCAGAGGGGGACAACAGUUGGACACGACUGCUUAUACCGCAUUCUGAAGGAGGGUAUUGCGGCUGAUUAGCUAGUUGGAGGGGUAACGGCCCACCAAGGCGAUGAUCGGUAGUCUGUCUUGGAGGAUGAACGGCCACCUUUGGAAUGGGACACGGCCCAGACUCCUAAGGGAGGCAGCAGUGGGGAAUCCUCCGCAAUGGACGAAAGUCUGACGGAGCAACGCCGCGGGAGUGAUGACGGCCUUCGGGUUGUAAAGCUCUGUUAAUCGGGACGCAGUACCGGAAUAGAAAGCCACGGCUAACUACGUGCCAGCAGCCGCGGUAAUAC
rnacentral:rRNA from 1 species